UAAAAAUACCGGUUCCCGUAGGAUCAUCGAAGUUAAGCAACGUUGAGACGAGUCAGUACCUAGAUGGAUGCCCGCUUGUGAAUAUCGGGGGCUGUAAG